UCAGUACUCCCUCCGUUCGGAAUUACUUGUCUCAAAAAUGGAUGUAUCUAGAACUAAAAUACGUCUAGAUACAUCCAUUUCUGCGACAAGUAAUUCCAAACGGAGGGAGUACAUG
rnacentral:pre_miRNA from 1 species